UCCGGUUAUAAGAAAGGAUUCUGUAUAUUAAAAUUGGAGAAGACGUCACAAAGAAGGCCAAAAAUGCAUUGUUUUUGAUAAUAAUGUGCCAGGCUUCAGUUUGGCAAUCUGUGUAGGAGAACAUUUGUGCAAGAGCCAUCUCUAUUGGAGAGGUUCGAUCAUCACAUUGCUUUCUCUGUUGACUGAUAUUUUGAGAAAUGAGACACAUGGCAAGGAGAAGCCAUGCUAUUACUUUCAGGUGCCAAAUGAAAUGAUUCACUUCAGGGCACUUCAAAAUAAAAAUAAAAGUACAAAUAUAAUUUAGGCAUAGAUCAUUCCUGAACUAAUUUAACUGUGUAUUUCUUACUAAUUUAACUGUGUAUUUCUUUAAAGCAGACAACCACCUGGAAGCAGUCAUAACAACAGCAAUAGCAAAUCAAUGCUGAUAAAAGAAAUCAAGUACAGAGAGUUUUAAGGACAUUGUCCAAAGUUGUACAAGGGCACCAUUUUUAAAAGUUGACAACCUCCUGCAGGGAUGUUCUGAAAGACAGAGACAUCUUGUCGGAAUUAUGAAUGUCCUUGGUGGAUGAGGCAGAAAGAGUUGACUGUGUAGGACAUUCCUGACAAGUCCUCAGGAUUUGAAAUGAAGCUCCAUCUAGUUCAAGAUACUUUUGUAAGUGAUGAUAUCAGCAAUUUAGUCCAUUGUUAAAGAGCUGAAUGUCUUGGGAAUUUAAACAUGUCAAUGCAGUCUUUUUUUACGUGACUAACCGAAGAAAGACUCCAACACUAAGCAUUCACCUGGAGAUAACCUACAGAGAUACUCUGUGUUACCCACAACUAGUCUGUUGACUAAGUUGGUGAAUAUAUUUGGGAAAAGCCCAUGUGGAAGAAUGGAAGCCUGCAUUAUCUUUCUCAGAGACAGACAGGAAGGUGACUCUAUGGAAGACAUCAGCGAUAAACUAGGAAGGAGUGACACGGCUCUAUUCCUAGGUUAUUUUCUUUUGUCGGAAAUGAGAAAUCUUUAUUUGUCCAUUCACUUUUCUCAAGAGAAGAUUUUCGGAGGAGCCAAGAUGGCUGAAUAGGAACAGCUCUGGUCUACAGCUCCCAGCGUGAGCGAUGCAGAAAACAGGUGAUUUCUGCAUUUCCAUCUGAGGUACC
rnacentral:lncRNA from 1 species